GAUAGCGUCCAGGAGCUAGUGGGUGACAACAUGGAGCCCCGUGGAGCCGCGCGGGCGCUUCAGGGGCAGGCAUCGUGGUUUUGACUCUUCCCAGGGGCCUGGCGAGGGGACGUGUUUCCUGAGAAUGCGCAUCCCUGCCGGGGUAGAACAUUCAAGAAGUGUGUUCAGGAUGGAUUAAGUGGGAAGAGGCCGUUGCAAAAUAAUGUAAAACCAAGAUAUUGUGCGGAAAGCAGUAUCUGACAUAGCCGAGGGACAGGCUGUCGGCUCAUUUUACAUUUGGGUGGGGGUGGGGAGAAAGGUGAUUUUUAUUUAUUUAUUUAUUUUUUAUUUGCUGCAUUUGCAAGCAGGCAUCCCCAGCCUGGCUCUUCUGGAAGCAAACCUGGUGAACUCCUGAGCCCUCCAGCAAGGCGGGCAGGGCCCGAAUGUCUGGAGAGGACUUUGGACCGUGUAGCGGGCACCUCCCUUGCUAGGGGGUGCAGGGUGAUGAGGAAGCUCUGGCCCCUGAGGUAGAGGAUGAAAAAGGACCCCGGUUCAAGUAACCAGAAUGGAAAAUGGCAUCUGACAGGAACUCCUGCCAGGAACCUCUCCCUGGUUAACACCCACACCCCAUACAAAACAACCCCUUGAAAGCAGGCCCCCUUGGCAACCGAGAAGAAGCUGGUGAAGACAUUUCGCCUGCGUCUGUGAGGUGGUAUCAGCAGGCAGGGCUGGGCCUGACAUGCACCCCUCCCUGUGCUUCUCGGAAAACUGGUGACUGUGUGUCAUCUGACCUUCAGCACAGAAGGUGGUGAUGUGGCAAGCCCAGGCUUGCUCCCUGGCGCCUGCUUAGCCCUGUUUCUCUGCCAGGGGAAGAUUCCGGCAGUGCGGCCUCCUCCAGGAUCUGCCCCAUCAGUCUCUUCCUGACUGUAUCUCCAGGGGUGGGUUGGGGUGGGGUGAUUUGGCCUGAAAGAACCGUGUGGAAAGAGGGAAUUGUCUGUCAAAAUGUUCUAGAAAGCUGGGCAGCUUAUGAAACCAAUGGAGGAGUCUUCACUGCUGCUUCACAGUACUGGGCAGUGGAGUCAGCCAGACCUUUCUUUAUCUCACCAGGCAUCUGAGAGGUUUGCAAAGCCCUCUGUCUUCAGGACCGCCAGCCGCCCCCACUGCCAGAGCCUACCACUUCCUCUUGGGUCCCUGCUGAUGGGAAUGGCCUGCACUGUGCUUGUCCCGGUGGCCCCAUCACAGCACCAGUUGUGACUGUCCUUGAAUCUCUGAAGGAGCCUUUUCUGCCCCAACCCACCUUGGUCUGACUGAGUGCCCUCUGUGAGCAAGUUGGCCAUGGUGCCAGGGCUUCUGCGGGGAGUAGAACCCCCCUGCCCGGGAGGCUGCUGACCUUGACGAUACUGUAUGGGAGGCCUGUGCUCUCGCUGGCUGGGAGAACUUGUCAGGGUCACUGCCACCCCCACAACAAAGUGCCAAGGUCAGAUGGGCACCGGACAAAGAAGUCCUUGGGAAGAGCUGGGACUAUUAUUCUCUCUUUUGCAAAUUAUGUCAAAUAGUUAAAAAUAGCAGGAAGACUUAGUGUGUGAGGUGGGGACAGGAGGUGCUGGAAGAGGGCUCAGGGCAGCUGGGAAGGAGGAAGGGCCCAGGGGCAGAGGCCGGACAGUCAACUGCCUCAGGAGGGAGGCGACUAGUGCCAGGUUGUGCUCACUCCACCUCUUAGAUGUCUCCAAAUAGCCCCAGUUUAAGUAUUUUUACUAAGCUGUCAUUUCACAGAAAAGCACACAUCUACAGCAGAAUCCGUUUCCAGGACAUGGAUCCUGACCUUUGGAAAACUCAGGACCCAUCACGAAGCUGAGGAAUGCCCCCGCCCACCACCAGGGAAACAAACCCCUUACCCUGUGUUCUUGAAAGUUGGGGACCCCCAUCAUGGGCCCAGUGGCAGGAAGAAGGUCAGGGCAGUCAGGAGCCAGGACUCCCACUCUGAGAGCGGGUGAGCCCGCAGCGCCAGACCCAAGGCCCCCGAGAUUCUGUCGUGGGGCACGACCCUGGUUCCAGGUUGCCUGGGCGGGCAGUGCUGCUCACUGUCACUGUCCCUGCAGCCCGGCAGGAGGAAAGGGUGAGCUCAGCUGCCCCCUGCUGGCCGCAGCCGAACCAGCAACCUGCAGAUGGGAGUAGGCUCCGCCCCACCCACGCUGUCCGCCCAGUGGGGGCGAGAGGAGCCGGGCCACCACACGGCACUGGACUUGCUGCUUAAAACUGAAGUCCUCAGACCCAGGCCCAGCCCUGCACCCCCAUUCUGGGUGAAGUUGGGUAGUCUGCCUACUUUCUUUGAAAUGUGGGGUGGAUUUGGACAGGGAGAAAAAUGCCAGGUAGCUCUAAAAGUCCUCUGCACAAAGGAGAAGAAUGAGCGAUGAGAAUCUGUCCCGAGGCCUGCACCUCCUUUGGGUCAGCACUGUCAGUGUCCCUUAGGCUCAAAGUCACAGGCUUUGGUUGACUGUCCCUGCUCCAUCCCAUGCCCUCUCUCUUUGCUGCAUUUACCUGUAUCCUACUGAGCCUGUCAGGCCCCCUCCUCCAGGAAGCCUUGUUUGAUCACUGCUCCCCCUCCCAGUCUAUUGUCUGUCUUUGUGUUGGGUGGUGGCCUGCACAUCUGUUGGGGCAUCAUGUGUGUGCAAAGUGACCCAUUUUCCUGGUCUUUAUGUUCUUAUCCCCGGUGUCAUCUGAAAAGCUGCCUGGACUCUGAGCUGAUGUCUCCAUGGGUAACUCUGUUGCUAAUCCUGCAACCCUGUGUGCGGGGAGCAGUUGGAACUCCUGCUCCCUGACAAGUGUCAGAGGCCCCUGGCACAUCCACCCCAGCCCUCUCCUUCCCAGCUUUAUCUGUGCCCCUUGCACCACUGUUUUUUCAGACUGAGCAUGACAGCGUCCUGGGUCGCCUUGGUCGCUGUGGCUUUUCUGAGUCCCAGCAGCACCUCUGGCCUCCCGUGUGUCUCUCCAUGCACUGCCACUUGGCUGGGGGCUGGCCACAUGAAGCCUCAGCUGUGGGUCUGCGCAAGCCUCUUGCUGGGCUCUGGUUGUGGCUGGAGCCUCCUGUGUCCAGCUAGCCCCGGGUUGGGAAGCCCGCAGGAAUGCCCCAGCUGCUGCUGUAAGUGGAGAAUGACCUGGAAACCCCAGCCUCAGAAGGGACAGUAGGAUCGCAUGUGUUGACUGUUCUGGUCACCUCUGCUUCCUGCAUUCUGAAGAGUUAGGGAGAGUCUGGGGACUGGGGACUGUGAAGACCUCGUCCCACUGCACUGUCCUCAGGGGCAGUCUGGGCAGAGCCUCUUCAGGUCUUCAGGCCUCUGGAUCCAGGUGCUGGCUGAGCCAGGCUGUGCGUGCCAGGCUGGCAGGUGGCAAAGUCACUCCUGCUGCCCCGUGCAACCCAAGCGUAGCUAGGAUUUGAAAAUAACAGCUGUUCCGGCAUUAAAGAACCCCAAAGAAGUCCAAGACAAUCAUCUGUAGGGUAGUGGUAAGGGUUAAAUCGUGUUCCCCCAAAAGGAUAUGUCGAAGUCCUAACCCUCAGUGCAUCAGAAUGUGACAUGAUGUGGGAACAGGAUCAUUGCAGGUGUUAUUAGUUAAGAUGAGCUCAUGGUGGAGUAGGGUGGGCCCCUAGUCUAAUCUGACUGGUGUCUUUGUAAGAACACAGCCAUGUGAAGACACAGACACUAAGGAAGAUGCCAGAUGACCACAUAGGCAGAGACUGGCUGUGCAGCCGCAAGCCAAUGAAUGCCUGAACGGCCAGCAAGGCACCAGAAGCUAGGAGCAGGCAAGGAAGGCCUCUCCUAUGGGUUGCAGAGGGAGCACGGCCCUGCUGAGCUGAAACCUGGAUUUUGGACUUGUAGCCCCCAGAACUGUGAGACAAUCAGUUUACUUUUUUUUUUUUUUUGAGACAGAGUUUUGCUCUGUCACCCAGGCUGGAGUGCAAUGGCACGAUCUCGGCUCACUGCAACCUCCGCCUCCCGGGUUCAAGCGAUUCUCCUGCCUCAGCCUCCCCAGUAGCUGGGAUUACACGCAUGCGCCACCAUGCCUAGCUAAUAUUGUAUUUUUAGUAGAGACAGGGCUUCUCCACGUUGGUCAGGCUGGUCUCAAACUCCCGACCUCAGGUUAUCCGCCCGCCUUGGCCUCCCAAAGUGCUGGGUUUACAGGCGUGAGCCACUGCACCUGGCCGAAGUGAGUUGUUUUUUCGGAAUUUUUUUUUUUUUUUCGAGACAGGGUCUUGCUCUGUUGCCCAGGCUGGAGUGCACAGUGGUGUGAACACAGCUCGCUGUAUCCUCGACCUCCUGGGCCCAGGCGAUCCUCUAGUCUCAGCUUCCCAAGCAGCUGGGCACGACAGGCUUGUGCCACCAUGCCUGGCUAAUUUUUUUUGUUUUUGUAGCAAUGGGGUUUCGCCAUGUUGCCCAGGCUAGGCUCAAGUGACCCUCCCGCCUUGGCCUCCCAAAGUGCUGGGAUUACAGUAGCAAGCCACUGUGCCUGGCCUGGGCACUGUUAUUCCCACGAAAGGUCACAGGUGCCCAUGGUCAUGGCAUUGUGCUGCCUUGCCAGGCAAAGAUGAUCACACAGAGGACAAGGUGCCACUCACUGUCAUGGACACCCAAGGAGACGGCCCUGUUCCCAGGACUACGCUGCCACAGGGACAGGUGGCUUACUCCUCCCAUCUCUGGAAACAUUGUGAACCCCAAUCCCCCAGUGGCGCUCAUCCUGCAGGCCCAGGUCCUGGGUGGCUGCUGCAGGGCUCAGAGUCCUCCAGGGGUCUGCUACUGUCCCUUCCCUCCCAGGUAGGUGUUGACAGCAGGAUCUGUGGGAAACAAACGGCCUCCUGCCAGGCCUGGAGCAUGAGGUGCCCUCAGGAAGGGCAUGAGCAUCUGCAGUUACCCACCUUGGUCCCCACAGGAACCCCAGAGCCCCUCCUGGGCAACGUGGGGCUGGGAGUACAAGCCGCCAAGAUGAGACAGCUUCACUCGGGUGCUCCGUGGGCAUCAACCUGGCUGGCCUGAGGGCUGCACACCUUGACGUACGUUUCAUGAAAACCAAACAUGCAGCCUGUAAUCAACUCUUGGACUGUCACGGACACACCCUCAUUAUUUCAUAUCAUGAGCUGCCCCAGAGUUUGUUAGAAACUGAUUUUAAUAAGUCACAUGAUACAAAAGAAUGAGAACAUUCAAAGAAUGAGUAAAAUACUGCUUUGUCCCAAAGGACAAGCAGAAAAUGUUAAGGCACAAUGGAUGCUCAGAAAACGUAAGAAGCUGAAGGGAAAACACAUCAUCUGUGUACUCAGACACACACACUCCAACCCAUCACACGAACACACCCUCGCCCGCCCAUCAGAGAAGAAUUCGCCUGGAAUCAGCUGGGGGCGGUGGCUCACGCCUAUAAUCCCAGCACUUUGGGAGGUUGAGGCGGGCAGAUCAUGAGGUCAGGAGUUCACGACCAGCCUGACCAACAUGGUGAAACCCUAUCUCUACUAAAAAUACAAAAAUCAGCGGGGCCUGGUGGCAUGCACCUGUAAUCCCAGCUACUCAGGAGGCUGAGGCAGGAGAAUCGCUUGAGACAGAGGUUGCAGUGAGCCGAGAUGCGCCACUGCACUCCUGCCUGGGCAACAGAGCAAGACUCCGUCUCAAAAAAAAUAAAAAAAUAAAAAAAAUAAAAUCACCUGGAAUCAAAGCAGCAGGGACAGCCUGCGCUGGAGCCGCCAGAACAGGCAGGCGGGCAGCUCCG
rnacentral:lncRNA from 1 species